rnacentral:rRNA from 1 species
CAGUCGUACCGACGAUAAAUCAGCUCCUCGAGUGCGGACUUGCGGGCGUGCGUGAGCUUUAAAACCUCGCUGUUUGCAACGUUUGUACUUUUUGGGUGUACUUUUUCGUAUGGUAGGCCAACGUCAGUUUCGAUUACCAUAAAAUGACCGGAGGAAUGUAGCUUCGAUCUCGUAUUGAAGUGUUAUAGCCCCUGGUAGAUGUGGUGACUGAAACUGAGGAUUGCAACGAAUACCCUUUGGGCUAUCCGUCUGAUCUCUGAAAGUUGCUUAGGUGCCGAAAGCAUGCUUACGGUUAUUUAAGUUGACGGUCAAUAGGUUAGAACGUGAUUACA